AGAGUGUGCGCCGGGGUGGGGGGCAACGGUCAGCCGUCACCCUGAGACGGGCGGCGGCGGGAUGGCAACAGCCUCCGGGGCCUCGGACUUGUCUGGCUCCGGAGCGCCCCCGCCCGGUGUGGGAGCUCAGGCGGCGGCGGCCGCUGAGGAGGAGGAGCGAGAGGUGGUGCGGGUCCGAGUCAAGAAAUGUGAGAGCUUCUUGCCGCCAGAGUUCCGCUCUUUUGCUGUAGAUCCCCAGAUCACCUCGCUCGACGUGUUGCAGCACAUCCUCAUCCGAGCCUUUGAUUUGAGUGGGCCCAUUGCUAGAAGACUGGGACAUAAUCAGCCCCAAAGAUGUCAUUGGCUCCGACGUGUUGCUGGCUGAGAAACGGUCAUCACUGACGACUGCCGCCCUGCCCUUUACACAGUCCAUCCUCACUCAGGUGGGCCGUACCUUGUCUAAGGUCCAACAAGUGCUGAGCUGGUCGUAUGGGGAAGAUGUCAAGCCCUUCAAGCCACCCCUGAGCGAUGCUGAGUUUCACACGUACCUGAACCACGAGGGCCAGCUCUCCCGACCCGGUGGUGUGGCGGUACCUGCUGAACGUGUAUCCAGAUGGACUGACAGGCCGAGAGCGGAUGGACUACAUGAAACGCAAGAGCCGCGAGUAUGAGCAGCUCAAGAGCGAGUGGGCCCAGCGAGCGAACCCUGAGGACCUGGAAUUCAUCCGCAGCACGGUCCUCAAGGAUGUACUGCGCACUGACCGGGCCCACCCCUACUAUGCGGGGCCUGAGGAUGGCCCACAUCUACGGGCGCUGCACGACCUGCUCACCACCUAUGCCGUUACCCACCCA
rnacentral:lncRNA from 1 species